GCGCUGAACUUAAGCAUAUCAA
rnacentral:rRNA from 1 species